UACGUAGGGGGCAAGCGUUGUCCGGAUUUAUUGGGCGUAAAGAGCGUGUAGGCGGCCAUGUAGGUCCGUUGUGAAAACUCGAGGCUCAACCUCGAGACGGCCGAUGGAAACCAUGUGGCUAGAGUCCGGAAGAGGAGAGUGGAAUUCCUGGUGUAGCGGUGGAAAUGGCGCAGAUAUCAGGAAGAACACCCGUGGCUAAGGCGGCUCUCUAGUACGGUACUGACGCUGAGACGCGAAAGCGUGGGGAGCGAACAGG
rnacentral:rRNA from 1 species